rnacentral:lncRNA from 1 species
GAACGACUGUGAUCUGAUCUCAAGCUACCAACGACAGGAAAAGAAACCGACCCUUCCUACUCAUUUACAUGGAUUUAAUGGCCUAGAUUUCAAGGAAUGUCUUGAAGGACAGAAACACAAAACUAUGGAACCUGUUUUUUGAGAUUAAUCGCAUGACUGAGGAGAGGAGGGAGGGUCAGCCCUGAAGCCUCAUAGAUCUCCUGAGGGGACAGGUCUACAUCGGGGAAAAUCCACCUCUGCAGAAAAGGGAGGUGUAGAAGGGAGACAAACUCCAGGCCAAGCAUUAGUGUGUCCACAUGUGAUCUCAGAAACAUCUGCGUCCUAACCCACAACCCUCCCUCAUGGCUUCCCACAAGCCUCAAACAGCUACACAAAACUCACACCAACAGUUUUUAAGCUCAAGUCUGUUUAUGGAGCAGCACCUUGGCUGCCCAAACAUCCUGGAGGGCUGAGGACAGAGAUUACCGACAGUACCCUUGCCCAGCAUGUAAAAGUUUCUGGGUGCCAGCACCACCACUGGGGGAAAAAAUCCUGCUGGGUAGUGGUGGGCAGUACUCAGGAGGCAGAAACAAGCAGAUCUCUUGAGUUCCAAGCCUGGACAACAACAAAGUCAAACCAAAACGAAUUCCUAAUGUCCACCUGGAAGAUGUUCACACGGUAAAAUAAAAGCAAGUUCUAAAAC